GCCGAGGUGAUGGAAUGGUAGACAUGUGGGUCUCAAAAACCCAUGGGAGUAAAAUCCCGUGAGAGUUCGAAUCUCUCCCUCGGCACAA
rnacentral:tRNA from 2 species